UUAUAAGUAAUAAAAUAAAUAUUAUUAUUUAUUCGAAUAAUUUUGAAUAUAAAUUACUAUUGUGCUAUCAUUCUUACUUUCUAAUUUUAAUUUUAUUAUAUAAUUUCAAUGUAUUUAACUGUUAAUGAUGGACGUAUCAGCUCGUGUUAUUAUACUAAUACGUCUUUAGCCUUACCAUUUAAGGCUCAUAUUGUAUAGUGCUGGCACUCCAAAUUGUGGAGUUGUAUGUAUGCAGCGCACAAGAAAUUCAAAUAUUGUCAGUUGACCCAUACCCAACUGUCUUUGUGCUCGCAAAAUUUUGUUGUUUUGUUGUUGCCAUAUUACAGGUUGAUCCCUAUGAAUUUCGAUUCCAUCUCUUGCUCGCCUUAUGUCUUUAGUAAUGGCUCCAAUAUAUGUUUAUUACUUUUCUUACCAACAAAAUACCAAGGUGAUGGAUUUGGAUGCGUGAAAUGGCUCAUCAAGUUCCUGUGGCUCGCUUCCAAAAUAUUAUUUGUUCUAUCAGUACGCCCAUGUACUGAGAGAGUAACAGGGCCAAUUUCUGAAAAGAAGAAGUAUCAU